GUGGGGAAUAUUCCGCAAUGGACGAAAGUCUGACGGAGCAACGCCGCGUGAGUGAUGAAGGUUUUCGGACUGUAAAGCUCUGUUGUUUGGGACGAAAGUGCCUGUUGCGAACAGUUACGGGUAUUGACGGUACUAAACGAGGAAGCCACGGCUAACUACGUGCCAGCAGCCGCGGUAAUACGUAGGUGGCAAGCGGUGUCCGGUAUUAUUGGGCGUAAAGAGCAUGUAGGCGGGAAUCUAAGUCUGUUGUUAAAAUGCGGGGCUCAACCCCGUAUUGCGAUGGAAACUGGGUUUCUUGAGUGCAGGAGAGGAAAGGGGAAUUCCCAGUGUAGCGGUGAAAUGCGUAGAUAUUGGGAGGAACACCAGUGGCGAAGGCGCCUUUCUGGACUGUGUCUGACGCUGAGAUGCGAAAGCCAGGGUAGCGAACGGGAUUAGAUACCCCAGUAGUCC
rnacentral:rRNA from 1 species